UACGUAGGGUGCGAGCGUUGUCCGGAAUUACUGGGCGUAAAGAGCUCGUAGGCGGUUUGUCGCGUCGUCUGUGAAAACCAGCAGCUCAACUGCUGGCUUGCAGGCGAUACGGGCAGACUGGAGUACUGCAGGGGAGACUGGGAUUCCUGGUGUAGCGGUGGAAUGCGCAGAUAUCAGGAGGAACACCGGUGGCGAAGGCGGGUCUCUGGGCAGUAACUGACGCUGAGGAGCGAAAGCGUGGGGAGCGAACAGG
rnacentral:rRNA from 1 species